rnacentral:rRNA from 1 species
GUGGGGGAUAUUGCACAAUGGGGGAAACCCUGAUGCAGCGACGCCGCGUGAAGGAAGACGUACUUCGGUAUGUAAACUUCUAUCAGCAGGGAAGAAGAUGACGGUACCUGACUAAGAAGCCCCGGCUAACUACGUGCCAGCAGCCGCGGUAAUACGUAGGGGGCAAGCGUUAUCCGGAUUUACUGGGUGUAAAGGGAGCGUAGACGGUGAAGCAAGUCUGAUGUGAAAACCCGGGGCUCAACUCCGGGAUUGCAUUGGAAACUGGUUUACUUGAGUGCUGGAGGGGCAAGCGGAAUUCCUGGUGUAGCGGUGAAAUGCGUAGAUAUCAGGAAGAACACCGGUGGCGAAGGCGACUUGCUGGACAGUAACUGACGUUGAGGCUCGAAAGCGUGGGGAGCAAACAGGAUUAGAUACCCUUGUAGUCC